rnacentral:rRNA from 1 species
CCUACGGGUGGCAGCAGUGGGGAAUAUUGCACAAUGGGGGAAACUCUGAUGCAGCGACGCCGCGUGAGUGAAGAAGUAAUUCGUUAUGUAAAGCUUUAUCAGCAGGGAAGAAAAUGACGGUACCUGAGUAAGAAGCUCCGUCUAACUACGUGCCAGCAGCCGCGGUAAUACGUAGGGGGCAAGCGUUAUCCGGAUUUACUGGGUGUAAAGGGAGCGUAGACGGCUGUGCAAGUCUGGAGUGAAAGGCGGGGGCUCAACCCCCGGAGUGCACUGGAAACUGUACGGCUGGAGUGCAGGAGAGGUAAGUGGAAUUCGUGGUGUAGCGGUGAAAUGCGUAGAUAUUAGGAAGAACACCAAUGGCGAAGGCAGCUUACUGGACUGUAACUGACGUUGAGGCUCGAAAGCGUGGGGAGCAAACAGGAUUAUAUACCCCAGUAGUC